UACAGAGGGUGCGAGCGUUAAUCGGAAUUACUGGGCGUAAAGCGCACGUAGGCGGCUUUGUAAGUUAGAGGUGAAAGCCCGGGGCUCAACCCCGGAAUUGCCUUUAAGACUGCAUCGCUAGAAUUGUGGAGAGGUAAGUGGAAUUCCGAGUGUAGAGGUGAAAUUCGUAGAUAUUCGGAGGAACACCAGUGGCGAAGGCGGCUCACUGGUCCAUUACUGACGCUGAGGUGCGAAAGCGUGGGGAGCAAACAGG
rnacentral:rRNA from 1 species